GAUGAACGCUGGCGGCGUGCCUAAUACAUGCAAGUCGAGCGAACAGACGAGGAGCUUGCUCCUCUGACGUUAGCGGCGGACGGGUGAGUAACACGUGGAUAACCUACCUAUAAGACUGGGAUAACUUCGGGAAACCGGCGCUAAUACCGGAUAAUAUAUUUAACCGCAUGGUUCAAUAGUGAAAGACGGUUUUGCUGUCACUUAUAGAUGGAUCCGCGCCGCAUUAUCUAGUUGGUAAGGUAACGGCUUACCAAGGCAACGAUGCGUAGCCGACCUGAGAGGGUGAUCGGCCACAAUGGAACUGAGACACGGUCCAGACUCCUAAGGGAGGCAGCAGUAGGGAAUCUUCCGCAAGGGGCGAAAGCCUGACGGAGCAACGACGCGUGAGUGAUGAAGGUCUUCGGAUCGUAAAACUCUGUUAUUAGGGAAGAACAAAUGUGUAAGUAACUAUGCACGUCUUGACGGUACUUAAUCAGAAAGCCACGGCUAACUACGUG
rnacentral:rRNA from 1 species